CAUACACGAUCUAAAGUGAAAUAUCUAUGUAAACAUUAUGUAUAUCUAUGGUCGUGAACAUCUCGUCAACAUUUCUGGUUAUUGUUAUUUUCCAAUUGUCAAGUUGUCAUAGAGGUUAGAGGUUAUUGUUUAUCAAAAAGUAUAUUAAAAUUGAUUCCUUUUGUUUUAUAUUAGAAGUUGGUUAUAGGAAAGGGACUAAUAAACGGUACUGUAUUAAAUGUCUAUUUUUUUUUGUGAGACAUGAAUCUUUCUUGGAACUCGCAAAAUUCGCCUGGAUUUGUUUAUUUCGAUACCAGUACCAGCACAGAUUUCAUUCCAUUUGAUUCAACUUCAACUCCAACAAAGACAUGUGAAAAAUUGACAAAUAAUUCUCCAUUUAAUAAGGGAGAAAAACAGAGGUUUUAUAAUAAUUAUAACAGUAACAAUAAUUCUAGCAAUUUGAUUGGAAGUAACAAAAAAAAUUCAAACAUUUCAUUUGAUAAUUCUUCGAGUCCCAUUAGUUUUAACAGAUCAUGGAACAAAACCAAAUGGAAUAGUUUUGAGAACUAUAAAAAUGAUUCAUCUAAUUAUCCAUAUAAUAGGAGGAAUUAUAAAGGAGGUAGUUACAAUCAAAGAUUGGUUAAUAAUUCGAAAGGAAAUUGUUCUAAAUCUUUUUCAUUCACAGAUUGCAAACAAAAAAAACAAUAUGAUAUAAACAUGUACGUGCAUCCAUCCUUCUUGGAAAAUCCAUGGGAAGAAUUGGAAAAUCAGCACAAAGA